rnacentral:rRNA from 1 species
GUGAGGAAUAUUGGUCAAUGGGCGGGAGCCUGAACCAGCCAAGUCGCGUGAAGGAAGAAGGAUCUAUGGUUCGUAAACUUCUUUUGCAGGGGAAUAAAGUGCAGGACGUGUCCUGUUUUGUAUGUACCCUGAGAAUAAGGAUCGGCUAACUCCGUGCCAGCAGCCGCGGUAAUACGGAGGAUCCGAGCGUUAUCCGGAUUUAUUGGGUUUAAAGGGUGCGGCGGUGGUUUGAUAAGUCAGCGGUGAAAGUUUGCAGCUUAACUGUAAAAAUGCCGUUGAAACUGUCGGACUUGAGUGUAAAUGAGGUAGGCGGAAUGCGUGGUGUAGCGGUGAAAUGCAUAGAUAUCACGCAGAACUCCGAUUGCGAAGGCAGCUUACUAAGCUACAACUGACACUGAAGCACGAAAGCGUGGGGAUCAAACAGGAUUAGAUACCCUUGUAGUCC